rnacentral:lncRNA from 1 species
CACCCCUGUUGGAGGUGGAUGGCUAGCCAGGAUUCAUUCUGGGCCCCAGUCCCAGGCUCUGCUUAGGGUGGGGCCUGAAGCCCCUUUAGUGGAGAUGAGGACUUGAGGAGGGCAGCGGGUGACUACUGGAGAUCACAUGGAUGAGGGAAGACACAUCACGGGAGGCCAGGUCUGCUCACUACCACAGGCUGACCUGCCGCCUCAGCCCCGGUGAAGUUCCAACACAGACCAGAGAAGUUGCUGUCCAUAGCUGGGGCUUCCAGAAGUGGCCCUGCCUUUGCCUGACAGCUGUGGCCUCUGUCCUCUAUGGGUGAGCUAGUUACUACAAAGCAUAUGCUUUCUUCCUGCCUAUCCUUUUCCCACAGAAAAACAAGGCCUACAGAUUGCAAAUGGAAUCAGAAUAGACCCAGAGCUCUGGCCAUCAGUAACACCCACUGACAACGGGGUUUUAACGGACAAACGCAGGGGCUGUGCUGAGAUGCCAAAAUCCUCCCCCUCCUUUGACCUGUCACUUUCCUUUGUUGUUCCCCCCACCCCCACUCACCUUUUUUCCCCCCUUUUUUGGGACUAAAGUCUCACAAUAUAACCUUGGCCCAAACUCAGAGAUCCACCUGCCUCUGCCUCCUGAGUGCUGGGAUUAAAGGUGUGCACCACCAUACCAAACUCAGCUUCUCCUUCAUUUUCUGGGAGGGUCUAGACCCGUACACCAGGCAGGCGUCUCCUUCGGGGUGCUACAAUUUCUGGUGUGCAUAGCACACCUAGCUUGUACUAUUUAUUUUUU